rnacentral:rRNA from 1 species
GGAUGCGAUCAUACCAGCACUAAAGCACCGGAUCCCAUCAGAACUCCGAAGUUAAGCGUGCUUGGGCGAGAGUAGUACUAGGAUGGUUGACCUCCUGUGUCACACCCUGAUUUUCGUUUC